rnacentral:rRNA from 1 species
UACGAAGGGGGCUAGCGUUGUUCGGAAUUACUGGGCGUAAAGGCGCACGUAGGCGGAUUGUAAGUCAGGGGUGAAAUCCUGGAGCUCAACUCCAGAACUGCCUUUGAUACUGGCGACUCUGAGUCCGGGAGAGGUGAGUGGAACUGCGAGUGUAGAGGUGAAAUUCGUAGAUAUUCGCAAGAACACCAGUGGCGAAGGCGGCUCACUGGCCCGGUACUGACGCUGAGGUGCGAAAGCGUGGGGGAGCAAACA